GAUGAACGCUGGCGGCGUGCCUAAUACAUGCAAGUAGAACGCUGAAGGAGGGAGCUUGCUCUUUCCGGAUGAGUUGCGAACGGGUGAGUAACGCGUAGGUAACCUGCCUGGUAGCGGGGGAUAACUAUUGGAAACGAUAGCUAAUACCGCAUAACAGUAGAUGUUGCAUGAUAUCUACUUAAAAGGUGCAAUUGCACCACUACCAGAUGGACCUGCGUUGUAUUAGCUAGUUGGUGAGGUAACGGCUCACCAAGGCGACGAUACAUAGCCGACCUGAGAGGGUGAUCGGCCACACUGGGACUGAGACACGGCCCAGACUCCUACGGGAGGCAGCAGUAGGGAAUCUUCGGCAAUGGACGGAAGUCUGACCGAGCAACGCCGCGUGAGUGAAGAAGGUUUUCGGAUCGUAAAGCUCUGUUGUAAGAGAAGAACGAGUGUGAGAGUGGAAAGUUCACACUGUGACGGUAUCUUACCAGAAAGGGACGGCUAACUACGUG
rnacentral:rRNA from 1 species